UACGUAGGGGGCAAGCGUUGUCCGGAAUUAUUGGGCGUAAAGAGCGUGUAGGCGGCCAGAUAAGUCCGCUGUGAAAUCUCGAGGCUCAACUUCGAGCUGUCGGUGGAAACUAUCUGGCUAGAGUCCGGAAGAGGAGAAUGGAAUUCCUGGUGUAGCGGUGAAAUGCGCAGAUAUCAGGAGGAACACCGGUGGCGAAGGCGCCACUCUGGGCCGAAACUGACGCUGAGGAGCGAAAGCGUGGGUAGCAAACAGG
rnacentral:rRNA from 1 species